GACGAACGCUGGCGGCGUGCUUAACACAUGCAAGUCGAACGGACCUUAGCAUCAAGCUUGCUUAAUGCGAAAGGUUAGUGGCGGACGGGUGAGUAACACGUGGAUAAUCUGCCUAUGACACAGGGAUAACACUGUGAAAACGGUGCUAAUACCAGAUACGUUUAUCGAAUCGCAUGGUUUGAUAAAGAAAGGAGCAAUCCGGUCAUAGAUGAGUCCGCGGCUGAUUAGCUAGUUGGUGAGGUAACGGCUCACCAAGGCGAUGAUCAGUAGCCGGCCUGAGAGGGUGAACGGCCACACUGGGACUGAGACACGGCCCAGACUCCUACGGGAGGCAGCAGUGGGGAAUUUUGGACAAUGGGCGAAAGCCUGAUCCAGCCAUUCCGCGUGCAGGAUGAAGGCCCUCGGGUUGUAAACUGCUUUUAGCCGGGAAUAAACACCCGUUUUAUAACGGGCCCGAAGGUACCGGCUGAAUAAGCAUCGGCUAACUCCGUGCCAGCA
rnacentral:rRNA from 1 species